GCUCACUAGUCGAGUGACACUGCGCCGAAAAUGUACCGGGGCUAAACAUAUUACCGAAGCUGUGGAUUGUCCUUUGGACAAUGGUAGGAGAGCGUUCUAAGGGCGUUGAAGCAUGAUCGUAAGGACAUGUGGAGCGCUUAGAAGUGAGAAUGCCGGUGUGAGUAGCGAAAGACGGGUGAGAAUCCCGUCCACCGAUUGACUAAGGUUUCCAGAGGAAGGCUCGUCCGCUCUGGGUUAGUCGGGUCCUAAGCUGAGGCCGACAGGCGUAGGCGAUGGAUAACAGGUUGAUAUUCCUGUACCACCUAUAAUCGUUUUAAUCGAUGGGGGGACGCAGUAGGAUAGGCGAAGCGUGCGAUUGGAUUGCACGUCUAAGCAGUAAGGCUGAGUAUUAGGCAAAUCCGGUACUCGUUAAGGCUGAGC
rnacentral:rRNA from 1 species